rnacentral:rRNA from 1 species
UACGUAGGGUGCAAGCGUUGUCCGGAAUUAUUGGGCGUAAAGAGCUCGUAGGCGGUCUGUCACGUCGGCUGUGAAAACCCGAGGCUCAACCUCGGGCCUGCAGUCGAUACGGGCAAACUAGAGUACUGCAGGGGAGACUGGAAUUCCUGGUGUAGCGGUGAAAUGCGCAGAUAUCAGGAGGAACACCGGUGGCGAAGGCGGGGUCUCUGGGCAGUAACUGACGCUGGAGGAGCGAAAGCGUGGGGAGCGAACAGG